AGAGUUUGAUCCUGGCUCAGGACGAACGCUGGCGGCGUGCUUAACACAUGCAAGUCGAGCGGAAAGGCCCUUCGGGGUACUCGAGCGGCGAACGGGUGAGUAACACGUGAGUAACCUGCCCCUGGCUCUGGGAUAGCCUCCGGAAACGGGGAUUAAUACCGGAUAUGACCCUUUUAGGCAUCUUUUUGGGUGGAAAGUUUUUCGGCUAGGGUGGGGCUCGCGGCCUAUCAGCUUGAUGGUGAGGUUACGGCUCACCAUGGCGACGACGGGUAGCCGGCCUGAGAGGGCGGGCGGCCACACUGGGACUGAGACACGGCCCAGACUCCUACGGGAGGCAGCAGUGGGGAAUAUUGCGCAAUGGGCGGAAGCCUGACGCAGCGACGCCGCGUGCGGGAUGAAGGCCUUCGGGUUGUAAACCGCUUUCACCAGGGACGAAGCUUGCGUGACGGUACCUGGGGAAGAAGCGCCGGCUAACUACGUGCCAGCAGCCGCGGUAAUACGUAGGGCGCGAGCGUUGUCCGGAAUUAUUGGGCGUAAAGAGCUCGUAGGCGGCUGGUUGCGUCUGCUGUGAAAUCCCGGGGCUUAACCCCGGGCGUGCAGUGGAUACGGGCCGGCUGGAGGCAGGCAGGGGAGAAUGGAAUUCCCGGUGUAGCGGUGAAAUGCGCAGAUAUCGGGAGGAACACCGGUGGCGAAGGCGGUUCUCUGGGCCUGUACUGACGCUGAGGAGCGAAAGCGUGGGGAGCGAACAGGAUUAGAUACCCCGGUAGUCC
rnacentral:rRNA from 1 species